AUUGCCGAAAAAGCUCUUUCAACGGAGGCAGUGGCAACUGGUAAAAGUAGAGCAAGUUUCACUAAGCGAAAUACAAGAGGAUAAUUUGAAUGUUUCUUUGUCUGAACUAAUCUUUUGGAAAGAUCACAAAGCCCAUUUAGAUCGGAGAACCUUUCAUCAACAUCACGAACAUCAACAAUGUAACUUGCAAGUUGAUUCUCAAGAAUACUCAUAUUGGAUUCAUCAAAGUCAUCUGGAUAUAAUUCAGCCAUUCUCAUUACUUUUCUUAUGUCAAAACUUGAAAAUGAGUUAAUUGGAUUCAAGCAAGCAAUUCCAUGGAGCAAAUCGGUAGUCA
rnacentral:lncRNA from 1 species